rnacentral:rRNA from 1 species
AAGCGCGCGUAGGCGGAUCAGGAAGUCGGGGGUGAAAUCCCGGGGCUCAACCCCGGAAUUGCCUUCGAAACUUUUGGUCUUGAGGUCGAGAGAGGUGAGUGGAAUUCCGAGUGUAGAGGUGAAAUUCGUAGAUAUUCGGAGGAACACCAGUGGCGAAGGCGGCUCACUGGCUCGAUACUGACGCUGAGGUGCGAAAGCGUGGGGAGCAAACAGGAUUAGAUACCCUUGGU